rnacentral:snRNA from 1 species
ACAACGAUACAGAGAUCAGCAUGGCCCCUGUGCAAGGAUGACAUGCAAAUUCGUGAAGCGUUCAAUACUUAA